ACAAAGUAUACUGUAGAGAGGUGGAGCUACAUAGUCAAUGAGUGCUUUGACAGUACAGUAUGUAGUCUACAAUAUGUUUGAGGAGAGGAUAGUGAUACACUCUUACCUGACAGUGCAUGAAGACAGUCAUUCAGACCCCAUGAAGAUGUUUUACACAAUUCUGCUUUUUUCAAUGUUCUUUGGUAGCAGUUAUGAGGAGGAAAUAAUAUCAGCCACAACUGAAGAGCGUGUUUUUGAGGGUGAAGGUAUUACUUUAUCCUGCAACUACACUGGCUCCUACAGUACUGAUACUUUACUGUGGUACCAACAAUACCCCAGAUCAAAACCAGAAUUCCUGCUCCUCAUCACUGAAGGAGGGUUAAAGACACAUAAUGAAUCGACCCACCCUCGACUGUCUGUUAAACUAAAUGAUGAAAAGACCCGUGUGGAUCUGGAGAUCACCUCUGCUGAAGUGACAGACUCUGCUCUGUACUACUGUGCUCUGAGGCCCACAGUGACAGGAAACCCAGAAACACUGUACAAAAACCUGACAUCACACAAUAUACUGUAG